rnacentral:rRNA from 1 species
CCUACGGGCGGCAGCAGUGGGGAAUAUUGCACAAUGGGGGGAACCCUGAUGCAGCGACGCCGCGUGAGUGAAGAAGUAUUUCGGUAUGUAAAGCUCUAUCAGCAGGGAAGAAAAUGACGGUACCUGACUAAGAAGCCCCGGCUAACUACGUGCCAGCAGCCGCGGUAAUACGUAGGGGGCAAGCGUUAUCCGGAUUUACUGGGUGUAAAGGGAGCGUAGGCGGUUAUGCAAGUCUGAAGUGAAAGCCCAGGGCUCAACCAUGGGACUGCUUUGGAAACUGGAAGACUGGAGUGCAGGAGAGGUAAGCGGAAUUCCUAGGGUAGCGGUGAAAUGCGUAGAUAUUAGGAGGAACACCAGUGGCGAAGGCAGCUUACUGGACUGUAACUGACGUUGAGGCUCGAAGGCGUGGGGAGCGAACAGGAUUAGAUACCCGUGUAGUC